rnacentral:rRNA from 1 species
UACAGAGGGUGCGAGCGUUAAUCGGAAUUACUGGGCGUAAAGCGUGCGUAGACGGUCAUCUAAGUCGGAUGUGAAAUCCCCGGGCUCAACCUGGGAAUUGCAUUCGAUACUGGAUGGCUAGGGUGCGGAAGAGGGAAGCGGAAUUUCCGGUGUAGCGGUGAAAUGCGUAGAUAUCGGAAGGAACACCAGUGGCGAAAGCGGCUUCCUGGUCCAGCACCGACGUUCAGGCACGAAAGCGUGGGGAGCAAACAGG